CUCCCGCUAUGAUGAGUGUGCAUAGUCCGUGUUUCACCUGAUUUUCUGUGAUUACAUGUAUGCACUGAGCGGGCU